rnacentral:rRNA from 1 species
GUCCUACGGGGGGCAGCAGUGGGGAAUAUUGCACAAUGGGGGAAACCCUGAUGCAGCAACGCCGCGUGAGUGAAGAAGUAUUUCGGAAUGUAAAGCUCUAUCAGCAGGGAAGAAGGAAGACGGUACCUGACUAAGAAGCCCCGGCUAACUACGUGCCAGCAGCCGCGGUAAUACGUAGGGGGCAAGCGUUAUCCGGAUUUAUUGGGCUUAAAGGGUGCGUAGGCGGAGUGUCAAGUCAGCGGUAAAAUUUCGGGGCUCAACCCCGUCGAGCCGUUGAAACUGACGCCCUUGAGUGCGUGAGAAGU